rnacentral:rRNA from 1 species
GACGAACGCUGGCGGCGUGCUUAACACAUGCAAGUCGAGCGGUAAGGCCCUUUCGGGGGUACACGAGCGGCGAACGGGUGAGUAACACGUGGGUGACCUGCCCUCAGCUCUGGGAUAAGCCUGGGAAACCGGGUCUAAUACCGGAUAUGACUCCAUGACGCAUGUUGUGGGGUGAAAGCCUUGUGCGGCUGAGGAUGGGCCCGCGGCCUAUCAGCUUGUUGGUGGGGUGAUGGCCUACCAAGGCGACGACGGUAGCCGGCCUGAGAGGGCGACCGGCCACACUGGGACUGAGACACGGCCCAGACUCCUACGGGAGGCAGCAGGUGGGGAAUCUUGCGCAAUGGGCGAAAGCCUGAUGGAGCGACGCC